rnacentral:tRNA from 1 species
CGAGAUGUAGCGCAGUUUGGUAGCGCGCUUGCUUCGGGAGCAAGAGGUCGCAAGUUCAAAUCUUGUCAUCUCGACCA